rnacentral:rRNA from 1 species
GAUGAACGGUGGCGGCGUGCCUAAUACAUGCAAGUCGAGCGAACAGAUGAGGAGCUUGCUCCUCUGACGUUAGCGGCGGACGGGUGAGUAACACGUGGAUAACCUACCUAUAAGACUGGGAUAACUUCGGGAAACCGGAGCUAAUACCGGAUAAUAUAUUGAACCGCAUGGUUCAAUAGUGAAAGACGGUUUUGCUGUCACUUAUAGAUGGAUCCGCGCCGCAUUAGCUAGUUGGUAAGGUAACGGCUUACCAAGGCAACGAUGCGUAGCCGACCUGAGAGGGUGAUCGGCCACACUGGAACUGAGACACGGUCCAGACUCCUACGGGAGGCAGCAGUAGGGAAUCUUCCGCAAUGGGCGAAAGCCUGACGGAGCAACGCCGCGUGAGUGAUGAAGGUCUUCGGAUCGUAAAACUCUGUUAUUAGGGAAGAACAAAUGUGUAAGUAACUAUGCACGUCUUGACGGUACCUAAUCAGAAAGCCACGGCUAACUACGUG